rnacentral:lncRNA from 1 species
AGGACAGGGAAGGGACAUGUCAGUCUAAAGUAAUAUCAAAGAGAGAGAGAGCAGUGCUGGAGACAUCAUGAGCGUGACUGACCAUGAGCAUCUAUCUGUAAGUUUCCAAUUGCCUGUGGGCUUCAAUGGCCUAACCAACACCACCAGCAACAGCAGCAAAAGCAAUGAAUGAUCCUCAAAAGAUUUCCCCAAUUCAAGCUGAAAAACACUAUUUAAAAAAGAGUUAAAUGGUUUUAACUCUUUUGAAAAAUAACCUUAGAAACCACCAGUGGUUUCUUAAAAGGCUUCUGUAAAGAUCAAGUGUACAAAAGGCACACAGUGGCAGAUCAGCUUUCUAUCACGACUCGCCGGCUCCGACACAGCUUCUUGGAAGGAACGGAGACCACUGGACAAGAGAAGAGGCACAUAACAAUACAUCACACUAAAACGUGCAGACAGCCCUUGGGCCGGAUGAGGCACCACGAGAUAAAGGCUGUUCCGUUUGUUCACUCUCUUGUAGCAAACAAAAUGGAAUCCAGCACAUAACCACAAAGACCUUCAAUAGCAGAACAUAAAAAUGAC